rnacentral:misc_RNA from 1 species
GAGAGCGGGAUGCUUGUUGGAGAUUGCAGCUUGGCUGGAGAUAAUUGCGUUUGCGGCCUGCCAGUCUACCCGGGAGGAAUUGACAGAGCCCGGGAAGGAGUAGGAUUGAUCGGCACGAUAAGCCGAUCUAACUACACACAUUCUCAUCUUUCUGAGGAGAUGAUGCUUCGCCCUAGAGGUGGUGGAGGUGAUGAAGGAAUUAUGGUGGAUUCCCGGUGUUUCGUAAAUUAGCGCUGCCAUGAAUGGAAUAAGAUAUGAUGUAAAAG